UAGUGGCGAACGGGUGAGUAACACGUGGGCAAUCUGCCCUGCACUCUGGGACAAGCCCUGGAAACGGGGUCUAAUACCGGAUACCACCUGGGAAGGCAUCUUCCCGGGUUGAAAGCUCCGGCGGUGCAGGAUGAGCCCGCGGCCUAUCAGCUUGUUGGUGGGGUGAUGGCCUACCAAGGCGACGACGGGUAGCCGGCCUGAGAGGGCGACCGGCCACACUGGGACUGAGACACGGCCCAGACUCCUACGGGAGGCAGCAGUGGGGAAUAUUGCACAAUGGGCGAAAGCCUGAUGCAGCGACGCCGCGUGAGGGAUGACGGCCUUCGGGUUGUAAACCUCUUUCAGCAGGGAAGAAGCGAAAGUGACGGUACCUGCAGAAGAAGCGCCGGCUAACUACGUGCCAGCAGCCGCGGUAAUACGUAGGGCGCAAGCGUUGUCCGGAAUUAUUGGGCGUAAAGAGCUCGUAGGCGGCUUGUUACGUCGGUUGUGAAAGC
rnacentral:rRNA from 1 species